rnacentral:tRNA from 1 species
GCCACUAUAGCUCAGGGAUAGAGCAUCUGCCUUGUAAGCAGAGGGUCGGGGGUUUAAAUCCCUCUAGUGGCU